CCUACGGGGGGCUGCAGUGGGGAAUAUUGCACAAUGGGGGAAACCCUGAUGCAGCAACGCCGCGUGAGCGAUGAAGGCCUUCGGGUCGUAAAGCUCUGUCCUAAGGGAAGAAUACUGACGGUACCUUAGGAGGAAGCCCCGGCUAACUACGUGCCAGCAGCCGCGGUAAUACGUAGGGGGCUAGCGUUAUCCGGAAUUACUGGGCGUAAAGGGUGCGUAGGCGGCCCUUCAAGUCAGAGGUGAAAGGCUAAGGCUCAACCGUAGUAAGCCUUUGAAACUGUAGGGCUUGAGUGCAGGAGAGGAGAGGGGAAUUCACAGUGUAGAGGUGAAAUGCGUAGAUAGUGGGAGUAAGACCAGUUGCGAAGGAGGCUCUCUCGUCUGUAACUGUCGCUGAGGCACGAAAGUGUGUGGCGCGAACAGUAUUAGAUAUCCUUGAAGUU
rnacentral:rRNA from 1 species